GGCAGCCGCAGUCGGAGCAUCCAUCCCUGGCUGCGGUGGAGCCGCUCCCGAUCCCGGCGCUCCCGGGGGUGUUCCCGGACCCUCGGAGCGGGCUGAGGCUCUGCGGAGGGAGGAUGAGGAGGAUGCGGAUAUGGAGGUUUUGGGAUCCCUGCAGGGACAACUCCUGUAGGCCCCAGGAGCUGCUGGAACCCCCUUGUGCCAGCAGUGAGGACACGGGGCAGGAGUGGCACCCGGUGAGGACACACAGCGGGAGUGGCACCUGUCCCCUCCCGAGGCUGGAUUGUCCCUGGAUGGUUCCUCUGAGCCUCGCCUGGGCUUUGGAUGCUCCCUUCUGUCCGCAGCUGGAAUGGCAGGGCUGUUCCUCCUGCUCCUCCCAAAUCCCGUGGAUUUACUGCCUCUGGCUGCUUCUCCAUCGUUCUGCUGGGACUGGCUCUGGCACAGGAAUCUCCGAGGGACAGAUGGGGACCAGCAGCACCUGCAGGCUGCAGUUCCCUCCUUUUCUGGGCUGCUCUGAGCAUGCUGGCUCUGCAGGAGGAAGGAUUCCAUGCACUGCUGGAGGACAAUUCCUGCUGCUCUGAUGGUCCCUGCCGGAGGCUCGGGGUGAGGGACAGAGGGACAGAGGGACAGCCAGGAGGAGAGGAUGGACACUGCAGCUGGGACAGACAGACAGCCAGGAGCAGCUCCCAAGGACAGCAUGGACACUGCAGCUGGGACAGACGGACAGCCAGGACAGCCAGAACAGCUCCUGAGGACAGGAUGGACACUGCAUCUGGAGCAGAGGGACAGAAGGACAGCCAGAACAGCUCCCAAGGACAGGAUGGACACUGCAUCUGGAGCAGAGGGACAGAAGGACAGCCAGGACAGCCAGAACAGCUCCUGAGGACAGGAUGGACACUGCAUCUGGAGCAGAGGGACAGACGGACAGCCAGGACAGCCAGAACAGCUCCUGAGGACAGGAUGGACACUGCAUCUGGAGCAGAGGGACAGAAGGACAGCCAGGACCAUCUGCCAAGGACAGGACAGGACAGACAGUGCUGGCCUGCACAUCCCUGCAGGAGCUGAGCUCCUCCCCGUGGCACUGACAGCGCCCAGGAGCAAUUUCUUUGGGAAUUUGGGAAUUUUCCUUGUGGAUCCUGGCCAUGGAUGGAUGCCGAAGAGCUCCUGGCUCGAGCAGGAGCUCAGUGCUUUUCUCUGGCAAGGACCAAGCCUUUGCCUGCUUUCCAGUGGAUAUUUUUGGUUUUUAUUUUUGCUGUUUUUGGGGGUUUGGGUGUUUCCUGAGGCUGCUGGAGCUGCAGUGGAUCCGUGGUGGGACUGGAGCCUUUGGAGGAGCAGGAGCUGAGCUGGAGCUGGGGCUCCAGGCUGGCUCAUCCUGGCCUGGGGGGGGCUCAGGAGGGUCCUGGUGCCACAGCUGGAGCAUCCCAGUGGAUCCCAGGGCGGGAAUGGGGGGAAGCCAAACCCAGCAUGGGCAGUGUCACCCUCAGAGACAAUUAAACUGCAUUUAAUUAAUUUAAUAAACCCCGUUGGCUCUGUGA